rnacentral:rRNA from 1 species
GACGAACGCUGGCGGCGUGCUUAACACAUGCAAGUCGAACGGAAAGGCCUGCUUUCCCUUGUGGAUUGCGGGUACUCGAGUGGCGAACGGGUGAGUAACACGUGAGUGAUCUGCCCCCAACUUGGGUAUAAGCCUGGGAAACUGGGUUUAAUUCCCGAUAGGACUGCAGGGUGGUGCCUGUGGUGGAAAACGAUUUUCUAGUGGUUGGGGAUGAGCUCGCGGCCUAUCAGCUUGUUGGUGGGGUAAUGGCCUACCAAGGCGGCGACGGGUAGCCGGCCUGAGAGGGUGGACGGCCACAUUGGGACUGAGAUACGGCCCAGACUCCUACGGGAGGCAGCAGUGGGGAAUAUUGCACAAUGGGCGGAAGCCUGAUGCAGCGACGCCGCGUGGGGGAUGACGGCCUUCGGGUUGUAAACUCCUUUCGACCGCGAGGAAGCCACCUGGUUGGAAGGGUGGUGACGGUAGUGGUAGAAGAAGCACCGGCUAACUACGUG